AAUCAACGCUGGCGGCGUGCCUCAGACAUGCAAGUCGAACGCGAAAUUUCCCUUCGGGGAGAAAGUAGAGUGGCGCACGGGUGAGUAACACGUAGGUAAUUUGCCUUUGGGUGGGGAAUAACUCAGGGAAACUUGAGCUAAUACCGCAUAAUGCAGCGGCUCGACAUCGAGACAGUUGUUAAAGCGGGGGAUCGCAAGACCUCGCGCCUGAAGAGAAGCCUGCGGCAGAUUAGCUAGUUGGUAAGGUAAUGGCUUACCAAGGCGACGAUCUGUAACCGGCCUGAGAGGGCGGUCGGUCACACUGACACUGACAUACGGGUCAGACUCCUACGGGAGGCAGCAGUCGGGAAUUUUGGGCAAUGGGCGAAAGCCUGACCCAGCAACGCCGCGUGAAGGAUGAAAUCCCUCGGGAUGUAAACUUCGCAAGAACGGGAAGAAUAAGUGAAAGUUAAUAUCUUU
rnacentral:rRNA from 1 species